AGUGAACGCUGGCGGUAGGCCUAACACAUGCAAGUCGAACGGCAGCACAGUAAGAGCUUGCUCUUACGGGUGGCGAGUGGCGGACGGGUGAGGAAUACAUCGGAAUCUACUUUUUCGUGGGGGAUAACGUAGGGAAACUUACGCUAAUACCGCAUACGACCUACGGGUGAAAGCAGUGGAUCUUCGGACCUUGCGCGAUUGAAUGAGCCGAUGUCGGAUUAGCUAGUUGGCGGGUUAAAGGCCCACCAAGGCGACGAUCCGUAGCUGGUAUGAGAGGAUGAUAAGCCACACUGGAACUGAGACACGGUCCAGACUCCUACGGGAGGCAGCAGUGGGGAAUAUUGGACAACGGGCGCAAGCCUGAUCCAGCCAUACCGCGUGGGUGAAGAAGGCCUUCGGGUUGUAAAGCCCUUUUGUUGGGAAAGAAAAGCAGCAGGUUAAUACCCCGCUGUUCUGACGGUACCCAAAGAAUAAGCACCGGCUAACUUCGUG
rnacentral:rRNA from 1 species